rnacentral:rRNA from 1 species
AUUGAACGCUGGCGGCAGGCCUAACACAUGCAAGUCGAGCGAGCGGCGGACGGGUGAGUAAUGUAUGGGGACUGCCCGAUAGAGGGGGAUAACUACUGGAAACGGUAGCUAAUACCGCAUACUAUCGGAUAACCCAUAUGGGAUUAGCUAGUAGGUGAGGUAAUGGCUCACCUAGGCGACGAUCCCUAGCUGGUCUGAGAGGAUGAUCAACCACACUGGGACUGAGAAACGGUCCAGACUCAUACGGAGGAAGCAGUGGGGAAUAUUGCACAAUGUGCGCAAGCCUGAUGCAGCCAUGCCGCGUGUAUGAAGAAGGCCCUAGGGUUGUAAAGUACUUUCAGUGGGGAGGCGUUUCCGUCAGAAGAAGCACCUGAUAUCUCCGUGCCAGCAGCCGCGGUAAUUC